AAUCCGGUGGCCUAGUGGUUAGAGCGUCCACCUCAGAUGCGAGUGGUCACCGUUUCGAACCCGGCCGAGUCA